UGCUGACGACCGGCGAACGGGUGAGUAACGCGUAUGCAACCUGCCUUUUACAGGGGAAUAGCUUUCGGAAACGGAAAUUAAUGCCCCAUAACACUGCGAGGUGGCAUCACCAUGCAGUUAAAACUACGGUGGUAAAAGAUGGGCAUGCGUAACAUUAGCUAGUUGGUAAGGUAACGGCUUACCAAGGCAAUGAUGUUUAGGGGACCUGGGAGGGUGAUCCCCCACACUGGUACUGAGACACGGACCAG
rnacentral:rRNA from 1 species